GAUGAACGCUGGCGGCGUGCCUAAUACAUGCAAGUCGAGCGAACAGACGAGGAGCUUGCUCCUCUGACGUUAGCGGCGGACGGGUGAGUAACACGUGGAUAACCUACCUAUAAGACUGGGAUAACUUCGGGAAACCGGAGCUAAUACCGGAUAAUAUAUUGAACCGCAUUGUUCAAUAGUGAAAGACGGUUUUGCUGUCACUUAUAGAUUGAUCCGCGCCGCAUUAGCUAGUUGGUAAGGUAACGGCUUACCAAGGCGACGAGGCGUAGCCGACCUGAGAGGGUGAACGGCCACACUGGAACUGAGACACGGCCCAGACUCCUACGGGAGGCAGCAGUAGGGAAUCUUCCGCAAUGGGGGAAGGCCUGACGGAGCAACGCCGCGUGAGUGAUGAAGGACUUCGGAUCGGAAAACUCUGUUAUUAGGGAAGUACAAAUGUGUAAGUACCUAUGCACGUCUUGACGGUACCGAAUCAGAAAGCCACGGCUAACUACGUG
rnacentral:rRNA from 1 species